CCUACGGGCGGCAGCAGUGAGGAAUAUUGGUCAAUGGCCGGAAGGCUGAACCAGCCAAGUCGCGUGAGGGACGACUGCCCUAUGGGUUGUAAACCUCUUUUAUAAGGGAAGAAGAAAUGCUACGUGGAGCAUGAUGCCUGUACCUUAUGAAUAAGCAUAGGCUAACUCCGUGCCAGCAGCAGCGGUAAUACGGAGGAUGCGUGCGUUAUCCGGAUUUAUUGGGUUUAAAGGGUGCGUAGGCGGUUUUUUAAGUUAGUGGUUAAACGUCGGGGCUUCACCUUGAUUUGCCCUUCAUACUGUAAGCCUCGAGUUCAGACGCGGUAGUCGGAAUCAGUUCCGUAGCGGUG
rnacentral:rRNA from 1 species